rnacentral:rRNA from 1 species
CCUACGGGUGGCAGCAGUGGGGGAUAUUGGACAAUGGGGGAAACCCUGAUCCAGCGACGCCGCGUGAGUGAAGAAGUAUUUCGGUAUGUAAAGCUCUAUCAGCAGGGAAGAAAGAAAUGACGGUACCUGAGUAAGAAGCCCUGGCUAACUACGUGCCAGCAGCCGCGGUAAUACGUAGGGGGCAAGCGUUAUCCGGAAUUACUGGGUGUAAAGGGAGCGUAGGCGGUAAUGCAAGUCUGGAGUGAAAGGCGGGGGCACAACCCCCGGUCUGCUCUGGAAACUGUGUAACUGGAGUGCAGGAGAAGCAGGCGGAAUGCGUAGUGUAGCGGUGAAAUGCGUAGAUAUUAGGAAGAACACCGGUGGCGAAGGCGGCAUGCUGGACUGUAACUGACGUUGAGGCUCGAAAGCGUGGGGAGCGAACAGGAUUAGAUACCCCAGUAGUC